UGUUAGCGGCGGACGGGUGAGUAACACGUGGAUAACCUACCUAUAAGACUGGGAUAACUUCGGGAAACCGGAGCUAAUACCGGAUAAUAUUUUGAACCGCAUGGUUCAAAAGUGAAAGACGGUCUUGCUGUCACUUAUAGAUGGAUCCGCGCUGCAUUAGCUAGUUGGUAAGGUAACGGCUUACCAAGGCAACGAUGCAUAGCCGACCUGAGAGGGUGAUCGGCCACACUGGAACUGAGACACGGUCCAGACUCCUACGGGAGGCAGCAGUAGGGAAUCUUCCGCAAUGGGCGAAAGCCUGACGGAGCAACGCCGCGUGAGUGAUGAAGGUCUUCGGAUCGUAAAACUCUGUUAUUAGGGAAGAACAUAUGUGUAAGUAACUGUGCACAUCUUGACGGUACCUAAUCAGAAAGCCACGGCUAACUACGUGCCAGCAGCCGCGGUAAUACGUAGGUGGCAAGCGUUAUCCGGAAUUAUUGGGCGUAAAGCGCGCGUAGGCGGUUUUUUAAGUCUGAUGUGAAAGCCCACGGCUCAACCGUGGAGGGUCAUUGGAAACUGGAAAACUUGAGUGCAGAAGAGGAAAGUGGAAUUCCAUGUGUAGCGGUGAAAUGCGCAGAGAUAUGGAGGAACACCAGUGGCGAAGGCGACUUUCUGGUCUGUAACUGACGCUGAUGUGCGAAAGCGUGGGGAUCAAACAGGAUUAGAUACCCUGGUAGUCCACGCCGUAAACGAUGAGUGCUAAGUGUUAGGGGGUUUCCGCCCCUUAGUGCUGCAGCUAACGCAUUAAGCACUCCGCCUGGGGAGUACGACCGCAAGGUUGAAACUCAAAGGAAUUGACGGGGACCCGCACAAGCGGUGGAGCAUGUGGUUUAAUUCGAAGCAACGCGAAGAACCUUACCAAAUCUUGACAUCCUUUGACAACUCUAGAGAUAGAGCCUUCCCCUUCGGGGGACAAAGUGACAGGUGGUGCAUGGUUGUCGUCAGCUCGUGU
rnacentral:rRNA from 1 species